rnacentral:rRNA from 1 species
GUGCCAGCAGCCGCGGUAAUACGAAGGGGGCUAGCGUUGUUCGGAAUUACUGGGCGUAAAGGGCGCGUAGGCGGCGCGUUAAGUCAGAUGUGAAAGCCCUGGGCUCAACCCAGGAAUUGCAUUUGAUACUGACGUGCUUGAAUCCGGAAGAGGAUGACGGAAUUCCCAGUGUAGAGGUGAAAUUCAUUGAUAUUGGGAAGAACACCAGUGGCGAAGGCGGUCAUCUGGUCCGGUAUUGACGCUGAGGCGCGAAAGCGUGGGGAGCAAACAGGAUUAGAAACCCCCGUAGUCC